UUAAAGGUUCUUUUUAGGACCACCCACAAUGUGAUUUAAAUUCUUU
rfam:Schistosoma curassoni strain Dakar, Senegal genome assembly, scaffold: SCTD_scaffold0005279